rnacentral:tRNA from 2 species
GGAUUGUGGCUCAGUGGUAGAGUGCUUGCCUAGCAUGCAUGAGGCACUGGGUUUGAUCCUCAGCACCA